rnacentral:rRNA from 1 species
AACGAACGCUGGCGGCAGGCCUAACACAUGCAAGUCGAACGCGUCCUUCGGGACGAGUGGCAGACGGGUGAGUAACGCGUGGGAACGUACCCUUUGGUUCGGAACAACAGCGGGAAACUGCUGCUAAUACCGGAUAAGCCCUUCGGGGGAAAGAUUUAUCGCCAGAGGAUCGGCCCGCGUUAGAUUAGCUUGUUGGUGAGGUAAUGGCUCACCAAGGCUACGAUCUAUAGCUGGUCUGAGAGGAUGAUCAGCCACACUGGGACUGAGACACGGCCCAGACUCUUACGGGAGGCAGCAGUGGGGAAUCUUGGACAAUGGGGCGAAAGCCUGAUCCAGCCAUGCCGCGUGAAUGAUGAAGGCCUUAGGGUUGUAAAGCUCUUUUGCCGGGGACGGAUAAUGACGGUACCCGGAGAAUAAGUCCCGGCUAACUUCGUGCCAGCAG